GACGAACGCUGGCGGCGUGCUUAACACAUGCAAGUCGAACGGAAAGGCCCUGCUUUUGUGGGUGCUCGGGUGGCGGGCGGGUGAGUAACACGGGAGUAACCUGCCCUUUACUUUGGGAUAACUUCAAGAAACUGGGGCUAAUACCGGGUAAGAGCUCCUGCUUCAUGGUGGGGGGUGGGAAGUUUCGGCGGUUGGGGAUGGACUCGCGGCUUAUCAGCUUGUUGGUGGGGUAGUGGCUUACCAAGGCUUUGACGGGUAGCCGGCCUGAGAGGGUGACCGGCCACAUUGGGACUGAGAUACGGCCCAGACUCCUACGGGAGGCAGCAGUGGGGAAUAUUGCACAAUGGGCGGAAGCCUGAUGCAGCAACGCCGCGUGCGGGAUGACGGCCUUCGGGUUGUAAACCGCUUUCGCCUGUGACGAAGCGUGAGUGACGGUAAUGGGUAAAGAAGCACCGGCUAACUACGUG
rnacentral:rRNA from 1 species